rnacentral:lncRNA from 1 species
AUGGCAACCCCUCAUAGGGCCACAUGGAUCCCCAAUAGGGACACAGGGACCCACAUAGGGGACAUGACAACCCUCAAUAGGACACAGGGACCCCCAACAGGGGCACGGGGACUCCUAAUAGGAACACAGGAACCCCAGUGGGGACAUGGCAAACCCCAGAAGGGGCACGGGAACCCCAUAAGGACACAGGGACCCCCAAUAGGGACACAGGGACCCCCAAGAGGGACAUGGCAACCCCCAAUAGGGGCACAGGGACCCCUAAUAGGGGCAUGGCAACCCCUCAUAGGAACAUAGGGACCCCAAUAGGAACACAGGGACCCACAUAGGGACAUGGCAACCCCUCAUAGGGCCACAGGAACCCCCCAUAAGGACACAGGGACCCCUAAUAGGAACUCAGGUACCCAUAUAGGGACAUGGCAACCGUCAAUAGGGACAUGGGGAUCCAAUAGGGACACAGGGACCCCCAAUAGGGGACAUGGCAACCCCUCAUAGGAACAUAGGGACCCUCAAUAGGGGCACGGGGACCCCCAAUAGGGAUAUGGCAACCCCUCAUAGGGACACAGAGAACCCCGAUAGGGACACAGGGACCCCAAUAGGGACACAGGGACCUCUAAUAGGAACAUGGCAACGCCUAAUAGGGGCACAGGGACCCCCUAUAGGAACACAGGGACCCCAAUAGGAGCACAGGGACCCCAAUAGGAGCACAGGGACCCCUAAUAGGAGCACAGGGACCCCUAAUAGGGGCAUAGGAACCUCUCAUAGGACCAUAGGGACUCCAAUAGGAACACAGAGACCCCCAAGAGGGACAUGGCAACCCCCAAUAGGGCCACAGGGACCCCAACAGGACACAGGGACCCCAACAGGAACACAGGGACCCCUAAUGGGGACACAGGGACCCCUAAUGGGGACAUGGCAACCCCCAACAGGGGCACGGGGACCCACACAGGGACACAGGGACCCCUAAUAAGGCUGCAGGGACCCUAAUAGUGGCACAGGGACCCCCAAGAGGGACAUGGCAACCCCUCAUAGGAACAUAGGAACCCCAAUAGGAACCCAGGGACCCCCAAGAGGGACUUGGCAACCCCCAAUAGGGGCAUGGGGACCCACACAGUGACACAGGGACCCCUAACAGGGACAUGGCAACCCCUCAUAGGAACAUAGGGACCCCAAUAGGAACACAGGGACCCACAUAGGGACAUGGCAACCCCUCAUAGGGCCACAGGAACCCCCCAUAAGGACACAGGGACCCCUAAUAGGAACACAGGGACCCCAGUGGGGACAUGGCAACCCCCAA